rnacentral:rRNA from 1 species
GAUGAACGCUGGCGGCGUGCCUAAUACACGCAAGUCGAGCGAACGGACGAGAAGCUUGCUUCUCUGAUGUUAGCGGCGGACGGGUGAGUAACACGUGGAUAACCUACCUAUAAGACUGGGAUAACUUCGGGAAACCGGAGCUAAUACCGGAUGAUAUUUUGAACCGCAUGGUUCAAAAGUGAAAGACGGUCUUGCUGUCACUUAUAGAUGGAUCCGCGCUGCAUUAGCUAGUUGGUAAGGUAACGGCUUACCAAGGCAACGAUGCAUAGCCGACCUGAGAGGGUGAUCGGCCACACUGGAACUGAGACACGGUCCAGACUCCUACGGGAGGCAGCAGUAGGGAAUCUUCCGCAAUGGGCGAAAGCCUGACGGAGCAACGCCGCGUGAGUGAUGAAGGUCUUCGGAUCGUAAAACUCUGUUAUUAGGGAAGAACAUAUGUGUAAGUAACUGUGCACAUCUUGACGGUACCUAAUCAGAAGGCCACGGCUAACUACGUG